CCUACGGGUGGCAGCAGUGAGGAAUAUUGGUCAAUGGGCGCGAGCCUGAAGCAGCCACGCAGCGUGCAGGAUGACUGCCCUCCGGGUUUUAAGCUUCUUUUAUACGGGAGUACAUUUAGUCACGUGUGUCUUUUUGUCUGUACUUUACGAAUACAGAUCGGCUAACUCCGUUCCAGCAGCCGCGGGAAUACGUAGGAUCCAAGCGUUAUCCGGUUUUGUUUGGUUUAAAGGGUGCGUAUCUGGGUUGUUAAGUUAGUUGUGAAAAUUUGGGGCGCGACCGUAACAUUGCAAUUGAUACUGGCAGACUAGAGGACAGUUGAGGUAGGCGGAAUGCGUGGUGUAGCGGUGAAAUGCUUAGAUAUCACGAAGAACACCGAGGGCGAAGGCAGCUUACUAAACUGACACUGACAUUGAGGCUCGAAAGUGUGGGUAGCAAACAGGAUUAGAUACCCGGGUAGUC
rnacentral:rRNA from 1 species